ACCAGCGUGAAACUCAAAAAACUUGACGGUGUCUCACACCUACCUAGAGGAGCCUGUUCUAUAAUCGAUAACCCACGCUAAACCUCUCCCACAAUUGUACCACCAGCCUAUAUACCUCCGUCGCCAGCCCGCCUGAUAACAGACACCAAGCGAGUAUAAUAGUCUAACCACUAGCACGACAGGUCAAGGUGUAGCUAAUAUGUGGGCUGCAAUGGGCUACAUUUUUUAUUCUAAAACAAACCCGAGUGUUAUGAAAACCGCACAAAAAGGUGGAUUUAGCAGUAA
rnacentral:rRNA from 1 species